rnacentral:rRNA from 1 species
GAUGAACGCUGGCGGCGUGCCUAAUACAUGCAAGUCGAGCGAACAGAUGAGGAGCUUGCUCCUCUGACGUUAGCGGCGGACGGGUGAGUAACACGUGGAUAACCUACCUAUAAGACUGGGAUAACUUCGGGAAACCGGAUCUAAUACCGGAUAAUAUAUUGAACCGCAUGGUUCAAUAGUGAAAGACGGCUUUGCUGUCACUUAUAGAUGGAUCCGCGCCGCAUUAGCUAGUUGGUAAGGUAACGGCUUACCAAGGCAACGAUGCGUAGCCGACCUGAGAGGGUGAUCGGCCGCACUGGAGCUGAGACACGGUCCAGACUCCUACGGGAGGCAGCAGUAGGGAAUCUUCCGCAAUGGGCGAGAGCCUGACGGAGCGACGCCGCGUGAGUGGUGAAGGUCUUCGGAUCGUAAAACUCUGUUAUUAGGGAAGAACAGAUGUGUAAGUAACUAUGCACGUCUUGACGGUACCUAAUCAGAAAGCCACGGCUAACUACGUG